CUUGGUCAUUCCCCGCUGAGGCGCAUCCAGCCUGCCAUCCAUGUUGUAAAUCGCGACUACUUCGGAAUUUGAUAAGCCGUGCCCCGGGGCCGUGAUGAUGACGGGAUUGGUGGCUGUCGCGCCUGUGAUGGCAAUCGUUGGUAAACCCGGACUUGCCAACCUCCAGACCGCAGGGGCAUUUUCCUCCGUUGUCAUCGGGCCAACGCGCUCUGCAAUGCGGCCCUGGAAGACUUGGUUGCCUCGU
rnacentral:misc_RNA from 1 species